AUCUCUUUUUUUUUUUUUUUUUUUUUGUUUUUUGAGAUAGAGUUUCUCUGUGUAACCCUGUCUGUCCUGGAACUCUCAGGGCUUCAAAGUAAGACCCCAUAAAUUAAUUAAUUAAUAUUAAACUUAACAAUGACUCUCUAUGAUGUUUUCAGAAAGUCUAGAAUCUUUCUGUGCAGAGUGCGCUUCUUACUUCCCGGAGCUUUCUCAGCUAUAGUUAAUGACCUAUUCGGACCAUGUUUAAUGUUUCUUCGGGUUGUUUUAUGAAGUCAAAGACAAUGCUCCUGUCUCUCUCUUCCCCUCGCACCCUGCCCCAACCCUAGCUUAUUCUAUGUACACUCAACAUCCUUGGGAACUGGGCACUCAAACAUCAGUGACUCCCGUCUGAAGGAUGGGUGAAGCCCACUGAGUUUAACGGAGCAGUGAGUCACCUGAAUAAACUGCCCAGUUAGAUCCUAGUUCAGGGCAUGUAGCUCAGUGGUGAAAUGCCUGCAUGUAUUAGGCCCACAGCUGGGUCCUCAGCAACUCUCCCGUGACAGAACAAGCCACUUUGGGAGGGAGGACUGAGUAACUCCCAUCUCCCAAGGAGAUGACCACCCUCUGCCCUUAGCCAUGGACCUCUGUGCAGGGGCAGAACCCCUUAGCCCAGGCAUUCUAACCCCAUCAUGCAACUCCCCUGAAAAGCCAGCCUCCUCCAGAGACCUACCCAACCUUCGCACCCUGGCUGUUGACAGUGGUCUGGGAACCCCUGCAAGGAAAAAAAUGUGGCCGCCUAUGGAAUUUGCCCAGUUUCUGGGGAAGCUUUUUCAGAGAUAUAUGUGAUGUCUCUGGACCAACCAAAGGAUGGGGGCUGCAAAGUUGCUGCUGGGGAUCUCCUCACUGUCUUCAGAGGAAAAACCUUCUUCCUUUGAGGUUCUGGGGCUGGCUUUUCUGCUAAGGGGGCAUCAUCACCUGUCCUCUUGGUCUUGGGCUGAUCAAACGUGGCCCAGAUUCUAACAUUUGCCACAUCUCUCUUCCCACCCUUCUCUACCCUCCCAGAUUCCCCCACAUGCCCUUCCUGCUUGCAAGCACCUCCUAAUAGUUUUCUCCCCUGAGCUGGGGAAGACUUGAACUAAUAAAUUGGCUUCUGGAGUCAAUCUGAGCAUCUUGAUUUUUGGUCUGGAGUAAAAUCAGGAUUUCCAUGGGACUUUUCAAAUUCCAGAUAAUAGCCCAUAGAAUCCCAUUACUUCUUGAGAGCCCGAUGAGAGAUUGCUGUUUGGUGGUACCCAUGAAAUGUGACAUCCAUUGUGUCAUGAAUCCUGCUAAAAUACCUCUGAUGGAGGCUGGAGAGAGAGAUCAACAGUUAAGAGCACUUGUUCCUGCCUUAGACCUAAGUUGGAUUCCCCGCACUCACAACUACCCAGAACUCCAGUCCCUGGGGAUACAACAUUCUCUUUGAGUACCAGGCAUGCAUGUGGUACACAGACAUACAUGCAAGCAAAAGAGUAAUACACAUACGUAUAACUUGAUUAAAUAAAUCUAAAAGCAUUAGGAAAAAUAUCUCCGAUGAUGGUAAGAAGCAGCGUCUACUGACUGCAUAUAAAGCAUUGCAUUCACUUUCUUAGUCCUCAUAGCCGCUUAAACUGUGGCUAAUGCUAUGAUGCCUGUUACCUGAAAGGAAAUGAAGGCCCUGGAAAUUUGAGAAACUCCCCUCAGGUCACAGGGUAGGUUAAUCGCAGAUUCCCACAGGGAAAGUCUCUGUUAACUACUGCCCCGCCUCUCACCUCGCCAGUGGUGUGGCCUUUCUUGCCUGGCCAUCAGUCUUGCCUACAGCAGAGCCUUUGCGUGUCCAUCCCAUCUCCCUGUUCAAAACAUCUUUCCCUCUGCCUCUACAAACUUGACUCCUCAGGAAUCACUUCCUCUCUACCGCCAACUAACUCGGCUACCCCCAUCCUCACUGGCCCGAGAUGGCUUGAGAGCCUCCCAAAGGACUAGGUACCAGCCUGCACCCUUCAGACACACUAUUAGAGGAUGCGGGGCUAAGGGGGAUCCUCUCUAAGUAGUGUCAUGGUACUCCCUUGGAGUGGAGAGGCACUAAAUAGUAAUUGAGAGCAGGCCAUGAGGAUGGAGAAUUCCUGGGAAGCAAUGUGGGCAGGGGCCCUGGGGAGCUAAGGGAGUAGCAAGGGGUCCUUAGCCCAGAGGUCUCCACUACUUCCGUGCUCUUUAAUAAAGACACAUGAAGCAUGACGAAGACCCUAGCAAAUACUAUUUCACCCUGAUCCCCAUGUCAGGUCUCAGGGGUACCAUGGACACUGUGGGGAACAGGGGAUCCCACCAUCCAAAGUCAGGCAGGUGCACAAACCCCAACCCCGGGAGGUGAAGCACAGGAAGUGGGAUCCCUUGAUGGCCGACCCUUGAAGCAAGAGCUUUUUACUACCGUUAGCAGGGCACUCUUAAGCCUUCAGAAGAGCUGGCCUGAGGACACAGGGACGCAGCAGCCGCUUCGGGAGAGGGUGAGUCACGUGACGAGAUAGGCCUGAACGAGCUAGACGUUCCUCCAUACAGGAACACGGAGACAAUUAGAGAAAGGGGUCCGGCCGACACCCCCCGGGGGGGGGUUACCGUAAGGGAACGCCGGGAGGGGGUACCCUGUGUCAGUGCUCUCUG
rnacentral:lncRNA from 1 species